AAGGAUUUAAGUUAAAUAAACUAACAGCCUUCAAAGCUGUAAACAAAGAGCGCGCACCCCCCCUUUUUAAGCCUUA
rnacentral:tRNA from 1 species